rnacentral:lncRNA from 1 species
UUUGAAAGACUCUUGGAAGACUUUUAGAAGAGAUUUAGAGAGAAGACUUUCUAGAGAGAGAAAGUAGAGAGAGAAAGCUGUAAAUCCGUGAUUCGUGUAUCAAUCUUGUCAAGUUAUCAAUGGAAUCACGUUAAAUGUACGCUAUAGUGUGUUCGGUCACGUUCGUUCACGGAUUCCGCACGUGAAACGAACGUUACGCAAUCGAACGGUUGCCAAACCGAUCCUACAAGUGGUAUCAGAGCUAGGAGCUCGAUUGCUUGAUCAAACACGUUGUUUUCGUACUGAUUUCAGCCGUUUCAAAGCAGAUUCAGAUCCAAUUUCGUCGAUUUUUCUUAUUCUACUCGUUCUUUUCUGAAAAACGUUAAAUUGAACAGGUAAAUACGGUCUGUUUCGUCUGAUUUUUGGAUAUGAUGUGCGUUUAGACCCGAUCUACAACCCUACCAAUUUUCAGCUCGAAAUUCCGAGCCGUUUAGGAGUUAUUGCGAGUUUUCUGUUCGAAUUUGCGUCACAUUUCAGGUCUGGUUCGCUUUUACGAACUUCGUGGAUCGCUCGAAGGUAUAGUCUGAAUCGCUUUUGUGUCAUAACUUUCUGGUUCGCUCCAAGAAAUAUCUGGAUCGCUCAAAGAUACAAGUCUGGUCCGCUCGUAAACAACAUUGUGAACCGCUUAUUGUGACAGUUUGGGAACCGCUCUUAAUGUCAGUCUGGUUAUUGUCGGCUGCGUAACAAGACUUCAAAACCCAAUCAGAUUGUUGUGCCGCCCAACCCACUUACACUUAUUGACCCUAUCAAAAGUCAUUAAAUCACGUGUUUAAGGCCACCGCCCCAAUUGACCAAUCACUAAGCCCCUUUAAAACACCCAUGUGUUGACCGUCCCAUUAUCUGCCGACUAAACUCAUUACCACCGGCCCACUACACUUUAUUACCCAAUCAAUCUUCACCUGCCGCCCUAUAACUUGCACCGCCCAACCCACCCAAUUACCCUAUCCCACACUUUAAAAGCCCACUUGAUUGCUGAAUAUUUGUUGCCGGGCCCAACCCACUUAAAUUUUGUCACCACCGCCCACUAGUAUAUCAUUGGUCAAAUCAUUUUUUUUAAGUGACCGACCCACUUAGAUAUUGAUCAUUUAAAGUUUGAACUCGUGUCGGGUUUGUUUUUGAAAAAAAUGGCAAUGGUGUUUGAUGAACAAGAGAAUCAUUAUUUUGAAAGAUUUAAUGAUUGGCAUCAAGGAUUUCUAGAUGAGGGGUAUAAAAAAGUGAGCAAAGAUGGAUGGGCAAAAAGGUUCAAAUAUUUCGUGUGUCUGAAAGACGAAACGUUGGAAGAUCUUGAAAAACGAUAUGGAGUCUUACUUGAAUAUCUAAAAGAACAUGAGAUAUUUCUAUCAAAUAGUGAAAAGAUAGAAAAGUUUGCAGAUGCAUUACCUGUCGAGUGGAGUGAAUGUUUGGAAAAUUUGAGAAAAGAUUCAAAGUUUUCAAAAUUACAUCUAAACAAAUUCAUCAGCAAACUUAAAGCUCAUGAACUU